ensembl:lncRNA
AUGUUUAAAACACGGGUCAUACAAGGAAAUUUUGGUGUGGAGGUGUGGAUUUCACUAAUGCUUUACAUUAAAAACACCCAAACUACAAUGUGCACACUCAGCUGGACUAAGAUGAAGGUCUCAGGUGCUCACGUCUGGCUUCUCUUAUUGUUCCUGUUCCAAAGUGACAGAAACCAGGUUUCAGACGCUUUUACACAAAGCGACUUACAAAUGAGGACAAUGGAACCAAUCAAAAUCAACAAGAGAGCAAUGAUAUGCAAGUGCUAUAACAAGUCUCAUUUAGUGUUCAAUAGAAGAAAUAAAUUCAUACAGGUUUGGGAUGGAAUAACAUGGGAGUGGGAAUGUGAUGACAACUUUCAUUUUGGAGUGAGCUAUCCAAAAUUUUGUGUUUUUAUUUAUUUAUUUUUUAUUUUUUAUUUUUUUGACAUUGGUUGUGUGU